AAAGGCGCAAUGAAAGUGAAGGUUCGCCUAGCGCGAACCGAGGGAGGAUGGACGGUCGUCAGUGGCCGUCCCGCACUCCCUGGGCGUCUCGUUCUCAUCGCGAGAAGAGGCGCACCAAGAGCGUACACGCUGGGACCCGAAAGAUGGUGAACUAUGCCUGGUCAGGACGAAGUCAGGGGAAACCCUGAUGGAGGUCCGUAGCGAUUCUGACGUGCAAAUCGAUCGUCGGAACUGGGUAUAGGGGCGAAAGACUAAUCGAACCAUCUAGUAGCUGGUUCCCUCCGAAGUUUCCCUCAGGAUAGCUGGCGCUCGCUUCUCGCGAGUCUCAUUCGGUAAAGCGAAUGAUUAGAGGCAUUGGGGUCGAAACGGCCUCAACCUAUUCUCAAACUUUAAAUGGGUGAGAUCUCCGGCUUGCUUGAACUGUGAAGCCGCGAGAUAUCGGAUCAGAGUGCCAAGUGGGCCACUUUUGGUAAGCAGAACUGGCGCUGUGGGAUGAACCAAACGCCGAGUUAAAGCGCCUAAAUCGACGCUUAUGGGA
rnacentral:rRNA from 2 species